rnacentral:rRNA from 1 species
GUGUCAGCAGCCGCGGUAAUACGUAGGUGGCAAGCGUUGUCCGGAAUUACUGGGCGUAAAGGGCGCGUAGGCGGACAUUUAAGUGAGAUGUGAAAGACCCGGGCUUAACUUGGGCAGUGCAUUUCAAACUGGAUGUCUGGAGUGCAGGAGAGGAGAACGGAAUUCCUAGUGUAGCGGUGAAAUGCGUAGAUACAAGGAAGAACACCAGUGGCGAAGGCGGGUCUCUGGACUGUAACUGACGCUGAG